UUGUAUAGUGAUGAGAAAUGGCCCAGGG
rnacentral:piRNA from 1 species